UACGUAGGGUGCAAGCGUUAAUCGGAAUUACUGGGCGUAAAGCGUGCGCAGGCGGCUUUGCAAGUCAGAUGUGAAAUCCCCGGGCUCAACCUGGGAACUGCAUUUGUGACUGCAUGGCUAGAGUGCGGCAGAGGGGGAUGGAAUUCCGCGUGUAGCAGUGAAAUGCGUAGAUAUGCGGAGGAACGCCGAUGGCGAAGGCAAUCCCCUGGGCCUGCACUGACGCUCAUGCACGAAAGCGUGGGGAGCAAACAGG
rnacentral:rRNA from 1 species